UCCCUCCGUCACUCCCUGGCUCCCUUCCCCGCCCCACAGCCGCCAGCCGCAGCCCGCAGCGCGACGCCGCGAUGACCCCAGUCCCCACCUCCCCGGCCGCCGAGGCAACGCAACCGUGCCAACUGUCGCCGCUCCCUCGCCCCGUCGCUGCUCCCUCGCCCCGUUGCCGUCGCCCUCCCUCCCGCGCGGCGACACUCUGCAGUCCGCCCAAUCCCCCAUGGCACGGCGGCGACCCUCCCCUGCUGCCCCCAUGGCGCGGUGACGACACUCCUGGCUCUCUCCAAGGCACGGCGGCGGCCCUCCCCGGCUCCCCCCAAGGCACGGCGGCGACCCUCCCCGGCUCCCGCACGGUGGCACCCCUCCUUCCACGGCGCUGCGGGCGGCGACGCGAGGGCAGGAGGCGCGAGAACCGGCGACGCGACGUGAUGCUGAUGGUGUGGCGGCGGCGACGACCAGGCUCGCGAGGCUGCGAACCAAAAUUUGCAAAUAACCGAGGAACCGAACCGAAGAACCGAAUGCUCACCCCUAGCGGUGUGGGAUCCUAACCCUAGAUGGUGGACUGGUGGCGCCGGCGGCCAACCGGCCAGGGCGGCCACCGUGGAGGGCAGACGGUGGCGGUGCGACUGCGCAACGCCCGCAAGGCGCAGCCGUGCAGGAGUCCAGGGCCGGCCGAUGGGCAAUGCCGCGAUGACCGCGGUCGGCGACUACACAGGUGUCUGUGCGUGGCUGCGUGCAGGUGCCGCGCAGUGCCAGCGUGCCGUGACUGCGGUGUGGGUGCUAGGUGCGCGCGCCGCGCCGCCGCGUGGCUGCUUCCGGCCUUCUCCAGCUGCGGCAUGGUUUUAGGCUAUCAUUUUGUGUCUGUACGACCAGCUGGUUUGGCUUUGAUGUUUGAACUAAGCGGAUCAUGCAAUGACAAGAUAUCUCACUCUUAUUAGGCCACAAACAUGAAGAGCAGAAAUCGUCCUGCUAUUGACUCGAAGUUAUUUAUACAAAAAACUGAUGCAAAGAAGAGAACUAAAGAGAAUAAUCAGGCCAAUCAGAAGAUCAGGGAUUGGGAAGCUAUUCUACAAUUUGUAAGCUUUCUUGUCAUUUUGUUCUUUUUUCUUACCUCUAAAUAUUUCAUAUGUUGCCACAUUGAUAUGCCCUAAAUAUUUCAUAUGUUGCCACAUUGAUAUGAUGAACAAUUAGUACCUCUAUAUGUUCAAUAAUCUUGAAUCUGUAUUAAUUGUGUGAAUAUAUUGAAUGUUGCUGUGAUAUGUUUGCUUGCUACCAAUAUAUAUUUAGCAAUUAGCAUUGCUGGAUAUUAUUGUUUUACCUAAUAUUGCAGGAUAUUACAUACCAAAUAGUAGGUUUUAGAUAGUAGAAAACUUUUUUAGCCUCUUUAAAUUUAGAAUACCCAAGAUGGAAAUCCUAAGCCCCCCUGGUUGCACCGGAAGUUUUUUUAUAAUAAACGUGAUCUUUAUUAGAUCGACAACAGGAUACAAGCUGAAUCAUGAUUUGUCCCCACUGACACUGAGGUGGGGAAACGAGUUUGAGUAGGGACAUGUUAUCUCGCUUUUUUUUUUGCCAGGUUGUGAGCUAUGGUAUUGUGCAAUCUUCCUAAGUUUUGUGCCAUUUCUCCCUGCCCUUUCACUAGAACGGUGCUCGUACUGGCCGCCCUUUACGCCGGCUCUUGCCUGAUGCUGGCUGGGGCUUCUCAAGUGAGGGACUUUGCACCACACCCUUCAAUGGCUUGAGGGUCCGGGUCGACCCACCUGUGAAGUCGCUUCGCUCCUCAUUUUGGCUCGUGGGCCGGAGCGGUUCGACCCUAAACAAAAGAGGAGCAGUAGGGUUAAGAUCCGAUCGAUCCCAAUCGACCCUAGGGUCGACCCCGACGGCGCUUCUCCUCCUCCCGCGACAGCACCGCCCCUCCUCCUCCCUCACGAGGACAGCGCUCCGACGGCCGUUACAGGGGGCGGCGGCGCGGCCUACAGGCGGCCCGCGACGGGGGCGCCAGGGGGCGGCGCGCGCAGGGCCCAGCUGCCACGCGAAGGCGGCCGCGCGUGCAGGGUCCCUCGGCGCGGCGAGCUCCGCCCUGAUCUCCCGAGGCCGCGACCGACGGUCGGGGGAUAGGAGGGGAGGGGGCCCGUGCGUACCCCUGCCCUGUGGAUCCACCAGCAGCCACGAGCGGCUCGAGAUCCUCGACGACGAGCGCCGCGUGCUCUGCUUCCGCGUCGUCGGCUGGGAGAUCCAUGGGAGCAGAAGGGGACCUGUCCAGAUGGGGCAACACAGGGAGACUAUUCAGCACUGAUGAAAUGUUAGAGUUGAAACUAACACAGACAAGAAAAUUUUGCAUUCUUCAGUUUCAUGAAGGUGUUACUGGUGACUGGUGUGGUGGUUUUGAAGUAUUUUUACAUUCUUUGGCUGUGUUUUCCCCCCUUAAAAACACUGUAGCGCUGAAAAAUGCAAUGUAGCACUCUGUAUCACUUUUCGUUUGUUUGUGGUAAAUAUUGUCCUACCAUGACCUAACUAAGUCUCAAAAGAUUCGUCUCGCAACGUA